CCUACGGGAGGCAGCAGUAAGGAAUAUUGGACAAUGGGCGAGAGCCUGAUCCAGCCAUGCCGCGUGCAGGAAGAAGGACCUAUGGUUUGUAAACUGCUUUUGAAUGGGAGAAAACCUGGGUACGUGUACCCAGCUGAUAGUACCAUUAGAAUAAGCAUCGGCUAACUUCGUGCCAGCAGCCGCGGUAAGACGAAGGAUGCAAGCGUUAUCCGGAUUCAUUGGGUUUAAAGGGAGCGUAGGCGGAUAGAUAAGUCAGUGGUGAAAUCUCUGGGCUUAACCCAGAAACUGCCAUUGAUACUGUUUAUCUAGAGUACAUUUGCUGUGGGCGGAAUAUGACAUGUAGUGGUGAAAUACUUAGAUAUGUCAUAGAACACCGAUUGCGAAGGCAGCUCACAAAAAUGUAACUGACGCUGAGGCUCGAAAGUNCGGGGAUCAAACAGGAUUAGAUACCCUGGUAGUCCGCACUGUAAACGAUGAUUACUCGCUGCUUGGAGGCAACGUCUGAGUGGCUUAGCGAAAGCGAUAAGUAAUCCACCUGGGGAGUACGCCGGCAACGGUUGAAACUCAAAGGAAUUGGAGNGNGAGAGNGCGAGNACAGAGGAGAGG
rnacentral:rRNA from 1 species